UACGGAGGGGACUAGCGUUGCUCGGAAUUACUGGGCGUAAAGCGCACGUAGGCGGAUUGUUAAGUCGGGGGUGAAAUCCUGGAGCUCACCUCCAGAACUGCCUUCGAUACUGGCGAUCUCGAGUUCGGGAGAGGUGAGUGGAACUGCGAGUGUAGAGGUGAAAUUCGUAGAUAUUCGCAAGAACACCAGUGGCGAAGGCGGCUCACUGGCCCGAUACUGACGCUGAGGUGACGAAAGCGUGGGGAGCAAACAGG
rnacentral:rRNA from 1 species